rnacentral:rRNA from 1 species
GACGAACGCUGGCGGCGUGCUUAACACAUGCAAGUCGAACGAUGAAGCCGGAGCUUGCUCUGGUGAAUUAGUGGCGAACGGGUGAGUAACACGUGAGUAACCUGCCCUUGACUCUGGGAUAACUGCUAGAAAUGGUAGCUAAUACCGGAUACGACCCUCGGAGGCAUCUCCAGGGGGUGGAAAGAAUUUCGGUCAAGGAUGGACUCGCGGCCUAUCAGCUAGUUGGUGAGGUAAGGGCUCACCAAGGCGACGACGGGUAGCCGGCCUGAGAGGGUCACCGGCCACCCUGGGACUGAGACACGGCGCAGACGCCUACGGGAGGCAGCAGUGGGGGAUAUUGCACAAUGGGCGCAAGCCUGAUGCAGCAGCGCCGCGUGAGGGAUGACGGCCUUCGGGUUGUAAACCUCUUUUAGUAGGGAAGAAGCGAAAGUGACGGUACCUGCAGAAAAAGCACCGGCUAACUACGUGCCAGCCGCCGCAGUAA